ACCCCGCGCCAUAAUUAACAAAUGGAGGGAAAAAUAUGAAUCCAGAAUUGGACUCGUAAUUUUUGUUUUCACCCUUCUUGUUCGAUACAUUUCUCUGUCUUUGCUAAAGACUCGAAUGGACCAAACCCUAUUUGAACCUGAUUCUCCACUGAUUGCAAUCAUUUCAUUUUCAGUCGAAGAUAGAGCAGGGGAGCGCUGUGGAGGCAUUAGAAGCAGUGGAAUCGCUUAGAUUUUUUCAACAAUUCUUUCCAUUUAGUUUAGUUGGAAAAAGGAACCUGUUGGCUGUCAUCAACUUUAGUCUGAGGGAAUAUGUCAAUGCAUCUUGGACGCAACAAAUACAAGUGUCCUGAAGAACAUUGGAGGAUGCUCAUUAUUUCCGCUGUAGGACACCGCCAUAUGGCAUAUUUUUUAUUUUCUCAUCCAAUUCAGAUUCUGAUGUUUCAGAUAGCAUUCACAUAUUGAUUAUCAGAGAAAUUGUUUGGGACCAUUGAGGCGCUCUACUUGCCAAUUGUAUGGUUCAAAAUUUGGUAAGGUAAAUCAAGCAUGUCAACCAACCAUGCAGAGGAGAGGAGGUAUUGGUACGUAGAUACAUGUACCUUUAGAGACCCAGUUGCUAAUCAAUACCCUUUCUCCAUUUCUAUCAACUCAGCUUAAUAGAAUUGUGUGAACUUGUAUCCGGAUUUGUAUUUAUUAUCACUAUGUGAAGCAUGUUCAGACCUGAUCAGUCUGAGUUGACAAUAAAUAGCUGUAUGCAGAGAUAUAGACUAGCAAGAAGAGAGUGGCGUGCACCAAAUCUAGUGCAGAGGAUUCUUUUUCAAUGCAAGAGACCAACUCAAUGUGCUUAUGGUAAAAUGAACAGAAUUCCUUGUAGCAGAAUAAAAUCAUAACCAAAUAUUCUUCUC